GGGGGUUAUUUAUGUUGUUCUUCAUAAUGGCAUAUUUUGGUAGACUUUUAGAAAACUAGUUCUUAUUAUCAUUGUUGACUAGGCUACCAAAUUAAUGGCAAUAUCUUUGGUUUUGUCUUGAUAAUUUAUAUGUUUCCUAACAUGUCUUAUGGUAUGCAGAGGCUCCAUUAGGACCUCCAAUUAGUAAUAAUAUAUGAUUAAUUACUUACUACAAACUCAAUCAUUAUCAUUUUUAACAAUCUCAAAAAGUCGGUCCAAGUUUUAAUUGUCAUUGUUGAAUUCGAUCAUUAGGACUAUUUCAAAUUGGAACCUCAAAACCAUUUGUUAUAUAUACACCAACAACCUAGCU
rnacentral:lncRNA from 1 species